GAUGAACGCUGGCGGCGUGCCUAAUACAUGCAAGUCGAGCGAACAGACGAGGGGCUUGCUCCUCUGACGUUAGCGGUGGACGGGUGAGUAACACGUGGAUAACCUACCUAUAAGACUGGGAUAACUUCGGGAAACCGGAGCUGAUACCGGACAACAUGUUGAACAGCAUGGUUCAACAGUGAAAGACGGUCUUGCUGUCACUUAUAGAUGGACCCGCGCCGCAUUAGCUAGUUGGUAAGGUAACGGCUUACCAAGGCAACGAUGCGUAGCCGACCUGAGAGGGUGAUCGGCCACACUGGAACUGAGACACGGUCCAGACUCCUACGGGAGGCAGCAGUAGGGAAUCUUCCGCAAUGGGCGAAAGCCUGACGGAGCAACGCCGCGUGAGUGAAGAAGGUCUUCGGAUCGUAAAACUCUGUUAUUAGGGAAGAACUAAUGUGUAAGUAACUAUGCACGUCUUGACGGUACCUAAUCAGAAAGCCACGGCUAACUACGUGCCAGCCGCCGCCGUAA
rnacentral:rRNA from 1 species